GAUUUAAAAGAUAACCAGAAGCAGCAGAGAAAACAUCUGAAGUGCUUCCUGGACACACCUGUUAGGAAGUUUCUGCAAGAACCCAGGGUCCGACCAACGUGCCCGCAGGAUGCAGAAAGGGCGCGUGAUGAGCACAGGAGAGUUUAGAGUGGCCCCGCGCCUGCUUCCCAAGCUCCAGAGACACUUUCUGCAGCAGCCGCACUCCUGACAAAUGGGAUUUUGGGGGAAUCAAGUGUGAUUUUGAUUCACUCGGGGAGCUCACCACUUAGAAGAACGCUGCGGUUUCAACCAGUCCUUCAGAAAUGCAGAGAGUGUGGGAAUUCCAAUGAAAAGGCCCUGAGGAGGGCGUGCGGUUACGGGGUCCCUUGAGCUUGAUAAAGGUAAGGACAAGGGACAAAAGCGCAGGCAGAGGCUGCGUGGGGGAUCGGAGUGGGGGCUGUGGCCUCGGUACACAGAGGAGGAAGAGCUCAGCAGAGUGAGUCCAUGUCCACAGCCUGCUCCGAAGAUCAGGGCAGUGACCCCUGGGGAAGAGGAUUUUGAAAGAUUUGGAGGGAAGGGCUGGUUGCAUGACAAAGAAGCGGCAGGAAGAGGUUACAGGUCCUGUCGGAGCCGCGUUGCCUCUGCAAGGCUGGGCGCUGGAGAAUUCUGCGCUGGGUGGAGUGAGCAUGGUGACCCAGGGCUCAGGCCACUGUCCUGGGG
rnacentral:lncRNA from 1 species